rnacentral:rRNA from 1 species
UCCUACGGGGGGCUGCAGUGGGGAAUUUUGGACAAUGGGCGCAAGCCUGAUCCAGCCAUGCCGCGUGAGUGAAGAAGGCCUUCGGGUUGUAAAGCUCUUUCGGACGGGAAGAAAUCGCAUGGGUUAAUACCCUGUGCGGAUGACGGUACCGUAAUAAGAAGCACCGGCUAACUACGUGCCAGCAGCCGCGGUAAUACGUAGGGUGCGAGCGUUAAUCGGAAUUACUGGGCGUAAAGCGUGCGCAGGCGGUUUUGUAAGACAGGCGUGAAAUCCCCGGGCUCAACCUGGGAACUGCGCUUGUGACUGCAAGGCUAGAGUAUGGCAGAGGGGGGUGGAAUUCCACGUGUAGCAGUGAAAUGCGUAGAGAUGUGGAGGAACACCGAUGGCGAAGGCAGCCCCCUGGGCCAAUACUGACGCUCAUGCACGAAAGCGUGGGUAGCAAACAGGAUUAGAUACCCUAGUAGUCUC